GUGUGAAACCCUAUUAUCAGUUUUGUCAGCAGGAAAUCGGAAAAAAAAAGCUUAAAUCACAUAUAGAUACUAGAUUAGUAACCCAUAUAACCUAAUAUUAGCGGCAGUCUUAACUUCAAAAUUUUAGUUUUCCUCUUAUCUAUCUUAAACCGCAUAACCAGUUCACCCUAAAACCGCAUAUGAGACCUAAUUUCUGAUGCUCGUUUGUGGUUCUCGCCAUAAGGGUGAAGUGAUAGAUGUUUCAUUAUCAAAUUAACUCACCAUCAUAUCCGAUUUGAACUAGGGGUUAACAGCUCUCAUCCAACCAUCUUCUUGGUUCGUAUUAACAAAUUUCGGCAACAUCUCUGUUUUGCAGGUUACCAUCAGGUAUUUUUUAUUUAUUUUACAUUUCAAAAUUUUGUGUUUAACUAUCAAUUGCUGAAUUUACUAAGUUUGUUUUCGUCUAACAUGUGUUUCUUUGGCUGAACUAAACAAAAUUGGGCCGAAAUCUGAUGUAUUGAAAGUAUCCACAACACUUGCUUGAUAAAAUGUAUGUGUGAGAUUUGCAGAAUAUAAUGAAGAUAUAUAGACUUGUGAAUAUGAUAUGAACUUAAAACACACAACUUCUCUCUUACACACUCACAGCUAUGAGAUCAAUUUUGCAUUGUAGAAUAUCUAGGGGAAUUGUCAUCUGAUUUUGUUAAUUUGUCCUCUUCCACUUGUAGUUGAUCAACUAUUACAUUUCAUGUGACCCCAUUUAUUGAAAAAGUUGGCAGUGUAGGUCUUGAAGUUCUUAGACCACGUGUAGUGGAAGACACAAAUAAUGCCCACACCCUUAGGCGUUUUGCGCCAUAUGACAGUUCAGUCAGCAAUGGGGCAUUAGACCAUGUGUAGUCAUAAAGCCCCUUAGGGGGCGUUAUGCGACAAGUGGCGAAAUAAUACGGGGGCUUUAUAUCACAAGAGGGUGUAGUGGUAAGGGGGUUAUAUACCCCCUCAAUUAUACAUACAUACAUAUGUAUGUAUAUAUAUGUGUGUGAAUUGGGAAGAUUGGGUCACGCCGUUAUGCUCUUCGCGAGGACACAAAUCCACCAGCCCAUAGCGCCAACUGUAGUGGUGUGCGGUAGCGCUAUGCCUCUUUUUCCCGUGAUAUGAAGCCCCACUACGGGUGGCGUUAUGGGGCGUUUUUCUAAAAUGGGUGUAGUGGGGAUGUGAGCAUUGUGGGGCAUUAUGUUAAAAGGGGUGUAAAAAAUUAAGUAAAAAAACCAUAAAAAAAGGGUAUUGGCCAACCAAAAAGUAGAAUACAUGUGAUUGGCCAAACAAUUUAAGAAGAGGCGUGGAAAAAAGGACGCCAUAUGUUUUUUUUUUUUUUGAAAAAAACGCCCCGGAGGCGGUUGAUGGGGAGCGUUUUUUUGGGGAAAAAGGCCCAAAAACUCCCAUUACGUGUGGUCUUAACACAUUGACCAACAACAUGAUAAAUUUUAAUGCUAAUACCGGGGUUGUAUGUAAAUGUGAGCACAUUUCUUGAAAAAGCUGGUACCGUAGGUCUUGAACCCUUUUGAUAGCCUCUCUAUUUAAAAAAUAUAGUAUGUGGUGUCGAAGUAUGUAUAUGGUUUGGUGUUUUGUAUUUAUAUUUUGGUGGAUUGUUUCCAGGCUGCUUCCUACUGUUUCGUCGUUUCCAAUUGAAUUACUUUUCAUCAUCAAUAAAUAAAUGUGGCUUCAAGAUGAAAUAAAGUAUGUAUUUUGGCAUUUUAAGUAGCUAGUACCAUUUUAAAGGUUUCAAAUUGAUGCGAUCUCCUGAAAAAAAAUCCAGAACUUUAAAAAAUAAAAAGUCAGAUUUUGCAUUCAGAAGGGGUCCAACUUUGGGUUUCUACAGAUACAAAAAGUUGUAUGUAUUGCAGCUUCUGGUAGGAGUUUUUUCACUUGUUUAUCGUUCACGUUAAAGAAUUUUUAUACUCAUUUUAUAAUACAGUUUGUUAUCGUUAGGGAUUAACUUUAGGCUUUCUUCCGAGUGGUGGUUCGGUUCAACAAAUCUGCAAAGAUUCACAUUGGGUUAAUAUGGUUUUUUUUUCUUUUCUAGGUGUAUCUGAUUGUGAAUAUCAUCUAACAUUUAUAAUAUUGGAACUACUUUUUGAUUAAUUAUGGAUCAGAUUGGACCUGGAUCUGGUACAAACAAACAUCUUAGAGAGGAUGCAGAAAUUGCUAUGCAAGGAUUCAUCAAUUUUGCUCAAUAUACAUCUAGUAUACAUCUCGCAGGUUUUUGAUAAAAUGUCAGCGUUUGAACUCACCUAAAAAUUAAGCGCUAAAUCAUUCAAAAUCCAAGAGAAAUCACCAGAAAGAAUUACUAAAAAUUUAGAAGAAGAAUUAAAUAAGCCGUAUAACUAGGGGUCUGCACGGGCGAUGUGGGAACAUCAGCAUGGUAAGGCUUCAGAUCUUUUAAAAAGCACAAGAAAGGGGGACAAUACUCCAUAAAUUUAUGGCCAUUUUACUUUGGGGUAUGAUGACAAGUGGAGUUUUGAGAAGAUGAUCAGAUUGAAUUAACAACUUUACUUGGAUUACUUUGUUAUUUUGAAGUUGGAAAUAUAUGUCAAAGUACAACAUAAGAUAUUUAUUACAUUUAUGUUAUUGUGCUGGUGUAAUUGAGAUACUAUUCCAUAUUAAUAAAAAUUUUAG
rnacentral:lncRNA from 1 species